AUGCAUUUCACAGCUCUCCCUCCUCUGAGAGCUCUCCCUACUCCCUCUUCUGAGAGCAUUCCCUCGUCUGACUACUCUGAGACUGAGACACUAAGUCCAUCUAUCGAGACACUAAGUCCAUCUAUCGAGACACUAAGUCCAUCUAUCGAGACUGUCAAUCCGUCUACCGAGUGUUGUGAGCCUAUCAUAUAUUAUGAUUACCGGUAUAGACAUAAUCCUAUUUCUUUGUCUUCGUGA